AUGGCUUAUUCACAUGGAAUCACUCCUCUAAAUGGGUACAAAAUGUGGCCUGUUGUCGAUGGAAAUCCUGUUAAAUCACCACAUCAUCAAGUCAUGCCUGGCAGGCCUAAAAAGAAUAGAAAAAAAGGCAUUGAAGAGAAGGAUUGUGAGGGCCGCUCAAAGUUACUGCGAUUAGGCCUAACAAUGACAUGCCAAAACUGUCAAGGAGAAGGCCACAACAAAAGGACAUGUAAAAAUCCACAAGUUAUGAAACCACCAAAACUUGAGAACCAUGGAAGGCUAAGAAAAAUAGCUUCUGAAGAUCAAUCACAAUCUAGAGAUCAAUCACAAUCUGGAGAUCAAUGAUCUAAUAUUUUCAGAGAAAGAGCACAGGUAAGUAUACGAGUGUUAUAGCUUUUUCGAUUCUAAAUGGAUAUACCUAUGUUUCUACAUGUGAGACAGGGAAUGGGCGUGUUUGUUGGUGAUUCUGGUAAUGCAUACGUGAGGGGCUCUAUGGCAAAUAAAUCCAUUACACAAGUUAGUACAGCUUGUAAUGCCUCAUCAGGUCGAGGAUGUAGUCAAAAUCGCGGCCGUGAUCGUGGUCGUGUCACUGGUAGUGGAAUUACAAGAAGGAGUGUUGGACGAGGAAACAUGGAUGAAACACAAGAGAGCUGCAAUUGAUGAUAUUACUUUGAUAAUAUUAACAGUAGGACAUGGUGUUUU